rnacentral:lncRNA from 1 species
AUCAUUUAAAUAUCAUCUGUUGAUUAUUGUAGACGUUUGUUCUAAUUAUGAACACAAUUCGACUCAUUUGAUUUCGGAGUUCUAAUGCAUAUGGAUUAAUACAUUGUCUGAAAAAAAUAUCCAAGGAAGAGACAAUAUAACACAGAGUUACUUUCAGUUAUUACUAAAACUGGUUCGAAAUAUACCCCUCAAAAAAGAACAGAUACAUCUGUUACUGCAUAUCGUUCUUAAAAAAAUGACGUCUAAAGGAUUCUGCACAAGAGGACUUUUACUAUUUCUUAUUUAUACAG